rnacentral:rRNA from 1 species
UGCGUAGGCGGUUUGAUAAGUCUGAUGUGAAAUCCCGCAGCUUAACUGCGGAACUGCAUUGGAAACUAUUUGACUAGAGGAAUGGAGGGGAGACUGGAAUACUUGGUGUAGCAGUGAAAUGCGUAGAUAUCAAGUGGAACACCAGUGGCGAAGGCGAGUCUCUGGACAUUUCCUGACGCUGAGGCACGAAAGCCAGGGAAGCAAACG